rnacentral:rRNA from 1 species
UACGUAGGGGGCAAGCGUUGUCCGGAAUCAUUGGGCGUAAAGAGCGUGUAGGCGGUCCGGUAAGUCGGCUGUGAAAGUCCAGGGCUCAACCUCGGGCGUGCGAUGGAUACUGCCGGGCUAGAGGGUGGUAGAGGCGAGUGGAAUUUCCGGUGUAGCGGUGAAAUGCGCAGAUAUCAGGAAGAACACCAAUGGCGAAAGCAGCUCUCUGGGACGGUACUGACGCUGAGACGCGAAAGCGUGGGGAGCGAACAGG